GUGUCAGCAGCCGCGGUAAGACGAAGGAUGCAAGCGUUAUCCGGAUUCAUUGGGUUUAAAGGGAGCGUAGGUGGCCUUAUAAGUCAGUGGUGAAAUCUCGCAGCUUAACUGCGAAAUUGCCAUUGAUACUGUAGGGCUUGAGUAUAGUUGCCGUUGGCGGAAUAUGACAUGUAGUGGUGAAAUACAUAGAGAUGUCAUAGAACACCGAUUGCGAAGGCAGCUGACGAAACUAUAACUGACACUGAGGCUCGAAAGUGCGGGGAUCAAACAGGAUUAGAUACCCCGGUAGUCC
rnacentral:rRNA from 1 species